AGAUCCUUCCUUGAGGCUGAAAACAUGCAACUUCCCUACCUUGAAACUAGUGAGAGUUUGGAUGAUUAGAGCCAAGUCCACGCAAACAUUUACUUCCCUUUCCUUCAGCCAGCAGGGAGACAUAUCGUGGGCCUGAUUCUCAAUCCAGAGGAACACUCCAUGGCCAUCAGUGAAGUUACUGUGAACUUACUUUGAACUAACUGAACUGUCACUAAAAUCAGAAUCCAACUCCACAUCUCUGAGAGGAGAUGGACCAGCUGAACAAGAGUAGGCAUGCAGGAAAGUCCUAACACCCUGCCCUUUUCUUCCGAUUUUCCUCCUUUGGCAUCUUCACAAUUCCUCCUGAAAGCUAGAGCCACAGGACGUGGGAAUCCUGCGUUUACUCCAAACUGAGGAUUCAACUGAGGAAAACAACUGAUUUGCAACAAAUUUAAGAGGUGCAUCUGUAGAAGGAACAAGCACACAAAAUUUACAGUUAUUCUGCCAGUAUCUAAUUGUGACCGGAACCUUCUAAUUGUUCUAACAACACUAAUUAACCAUCAGGAUCCAGAAGGGCUGUGACCAGACUUCUAUUGCUAAACUGAGGAGUUUCAUCGAAGAUUUGAAUGACACGGUAGUAUACAUUACACCCAAAAGUGUAUAUUGUGGGUUGAAUGCUUGCCUGUGUAAUCAAGGCCCCAAGACAGUAGCAUCUUGCACUAUGAGCACUAUCUGUAGGUGAUGCUGUGUUGAAAGAUGCUGUACUUGUACAUGCCAUCUAUUGCUAUUUAUUGUAAUUCAUUUUUAAGAUGAUUCACAGGACUUAGAAUGAGGCAAAAAUAUGGUUUGUGUAAGUAUAUGUCACUAUUCAAAUUCACUGGUUUGCUCUUUAGGUUGCAAUGGACUGUGAAAACUUCAGCUUAGUUGGAAAAUGGUGUUUACGAGCUUAUUUAUUAGGGUUUGUCUGUAAAAGGCAGGUAUA